rnacentral:rRNA from 1 species
AUUGAACGCUGGCGGCAGGCCUAACACAUGCAAGUCGAGCGGAGUGGCGGACGGGUGAGUAAUGCCUAGGAAUCUGCCUGGUAGUGAGGGAUAACGUCAGGAAACGGACGCUAAUACCGCUUACUAUCAGAUGAGCCUAGGUCGGCUUAGCUAGUUGGAGGGGUAAAGGCUUACCAAGGCGAAGAUCCUUAACUGGUCUGAGAGGAUGAUCAGUCACACUGGAACUGAGACACGGUCCAGACUCCUACGGGAGGCAGCAGUGGGGAAUAUUGGACAAUGGGCGAAAGCCUGAUCCAGCCAUGCCGCGUGUGUGAAGAAGGUCUUCGGAUUGUAAAGCACUUUAAGUUGGGAGGCGUUACCAACAGAAUAAGCAACGGCUAACUUCGUGCCAGCAGCCGCGGUAAUAC